rnacentral:rRNA from 1 species
UCCAGACUCCUACGGGAGGCAGCAGUGGGGGAUAUUGCACAAUGGGGGAAACCCUGAUGCAGCGACGCCGCGUGGGUGAAGAAGCGCCUCGGCGCGUAAAGCCCUGUCAGCAGGGAAGAAAAUGACGGUACCUGAAGAAGAAGCCCCGGCUAACUACGUGCCAGCAGCCGCGGUAAUACGUAGGUGGCAAGCGUUGUCCGGAUUUACUGGGUGUAAAGGGCGUGCAGCCGGAGAGACAAGUCAGAUGUGAAAUCCACGGGCUCAACUCGUGAACUGCAUUUGAAACUGUUUCCCUUGAGUGUCGGAGAGGUAAUCGGAAUUCCUUGUGUAGCGGUGAAAUGCGUAGAUAUAAGGAAGAACACCAGUGGCGAAGGCGGAUUACUGGACGAUAACUGACGGUGAGGCGCGAAAGCGUGGGGAGCAAACAGGAUUAGAUACCCUUGUA